CGCCAGAGAACUACGAGCGAAAAACUUAAAACUCCAAGGACUUGGAGGUACCCUACACCAGCCUAGAGGAGCCUGUCCUAUAAUCGAUACUCCACGCUCAACCUUACCCCCCCUUGAAACCCAGCCUAUAUACCGCCGUCGCCAGCCCACCUUCUGAAAGAGACCAAGUGGGCACAAUAAUUAAUAAUUAACACGUCAGGUCAAGGUGUAGCACACGGGGGGGCAGAGAUGGGCUACUUUUCCUUCAACAGGAAAUCACGCACGGCAUGUUGAAACAUGUGCCUCAGGGUGGAUUUAGCAGUAAGACAAAAUAGAACCCUUGUCUCAAACAUGCUCUAGGGUGCGCACACACCGCC
rnacentral:rRNA from 1 species